GCGCUCCGCGGCGGUCGUGGCUGCGCCGGCGGCAAACGUUGCUGACACUCCGCUACUACCACAUGCUGCUGGUAGCGGCGGCGUCUUUGCCGUACAGUGGUGACUCUCAGCCGCCGCAACGAGUGCGCUCCCGUUGUUGUUCGUGUUGAGCUCAGAUCAGACGAGGCUACCCGCCUAACUUAACCAUAUCGUUAAGCGGAGGACAAGAAACUAAGCAGGAUUCCCUCAGUAGCGGCGAGCGAGCAUGGACCAGCUCAGCGCCGAAGCCGUCGACGGGCGACCGUCGACGGAGGUGUGGUGCGUAGGCCUGGCGGACGUGCGAACAACCUGUCGUCGUAGGCUGCCUUGAUCGGGACGUCGGAGAGGGUGCAAGGCCCGUGACGACGGCGGUUGCCCGCAACGCGCUCGCCGGGCUGUCGAGACGGGUUGCUCGAGAGUGCAGCCAAAAGCGGGUGGUAAAUCCCACCUAAAGCUAAAUACGACUACGAGACCGGUAGCGAACAAGUACCGCGAGGGAAAGUUGAAAAGAAGUUUGAAGAGAGAGUUCAGCAGGACGUGAAACCGUUCGGAAGCAAACCGAUGGAGCUGUCGUCGUUUGGUCGGCACUCAGUCGAAACGGGCCGCAGUGACGUUGUGCGCUGCCAGCCAGCCUCGGCCGGUUGGUCACGCCGCUGCCCACAAUGUACGGGCGCCGAACGAUGCACUUGCCGACCAGUGGCGUCACGAGCGACGGGCGGCGGAGCAUGGGCUCGCGCUCGUUGUCGCAACAACAACGGGUGCGCUGCUUGGCCCGGCGCGAAGAGGGUGCUUGGCGUGAAAACUCGUCGUUCACCGACGGGCGGCCCUCCGUCCUAUCAGUUGAAAGCGGAUAAACACAGUGCAUGAAGCAGGGAACAUCAAUAACAGAGGAGACGAAACGUUUAAGCUAGGCACGGUCUUCGUCACUGCCUGAUGGCCCAUGGCGGUACGCAGAGAUUGCUCUUACGCUAGCAGGCCAGCAUCUUACUUGGCUAAACUUUUUAGUCAGCUCAUUCUAAAAAUGAAACACUUCGCGCGGGACGACCUUGCCGACUGGCAGUCGACGACGGUUCGUGCCAGCGGGCGACCGUUGGCCGCGCUGCCGACUGCGCUCCAUGCCGAGGCGCACGGCGGUCCCGGCGUACGUUCAACCAUUUUUGACCAGUCGCCCUUUAGGACCGGUUCACCCCGCGCUUCCUUCUGAGGUGGCUUGCGUGGUUGACGGUUGCGCUGUUGCGACGCCAGCCGACGCCUUCGACCAGUCGGCCGAGGCGAACUCUGUGACGUCCGCGUCAGUCGCCCAUCGGACCCGUCUUGAAACACGGACCAAGGAGUGCAGCUUGUGCGCAAGUCAUUGACACAACUGACUACGGUGAACGGCGAAACGAGAGUGCUCUGUGCGCGGCUCUUUUGCCCGCACCUCGCUGAUCCCGUCGCCGCCACCGCUGCUGCUGGCGGUGGCGACGGGCGCACAGCGGUGCCGCCGGCUCCGUCGCCGCUAACUUGGCCUUCGGGUCGACCAAGCGAACGGUCGGGCCUGCGGACUCGGAGCGCACACGCUGCUACCCGAAAGAUGGUGAACUAUGCAUGAGCAGGACGAAGCCAGAGGAAACUCUGGUGGAAGUUCGUAGCGGUGUUGACGUGCAAAUCACUCGCCCGACUUGUGCAUAGGGGCGAAAGACUAAUCGAACCAUCUAGUAGCUGGUUCCUUCCGAAGUUUCCCUCAGGAUAGCUGGCGUUCGCAUGCAGUUUUAUCCGGUAAAGCGAAUGAUCAGAGGUAUUGGGGACGCAAUGUCCUCAUCCUAUUCUCAAACUUUGAAUGGGUACGAAGGCCGAUUUGCUUUGAGAAAUCGCGCCGCUCUUCCCCCGGAACGCCUCGAACGGCUACUGGGCUAGUUUUGGUAAGCAGAACUGACGAUGUGGGAUGAUCCGAACGUCAGGUUACGGUGCCCAAUGUUCGGUACUCAUCAGAUUCAGUACUCAUCAGACACCAUGAAAGGUGUUGGUCGAUAUAGACAGCAGGACGGUGGCCAUGGAAGUUGGAAUCCGCCAAGGAGUGUGUAACAACUCACCUGCCGAAUCGACUAGCCCUGAAAAUGGAUGGCGCUCGAGCGCCGAGCCUGUACCUGACCGCCUCGGCAAUGUUGUUGUCGGUCCCGCGCGUGCAUUUGCGGACGACCGAAGGCCAAGGCGUGUAGGAAGAGGUCGCGACGGUGCGCAUUGAAGGUGUUGAGCGUGAGCUCGCCCGGAGCCGCCGUCGGUGCGGAUCUUGGUGGCAGUAGCAAUUAUUGAAGUGAGAACCUUGAAGGCCGAAGUGGAGAAGGGUUCCACGUGAACAGCAAUUGCACAUGGGUCAGUCGAUCCUGAGAACGAGGCGAAAGCCCAGGCGCAGCGGCGUGACAUCGUUCCUUUGUUCGCCGUAGCCAGCAGCACGCCGUACCGUUCGAAAGGGAAUCCGGUUGAAAUUCCGGAACCGAGCCUCAGAGAUGUACACCCGCGUCUCCGGCUGUCGCUUCCGCGGCGGUGGCCUCGUCGCCGCUCGCUGUUCGGUUUGCGCGGCUGGAAGUACGCGGGACUGGUGCGCGCGGUAACGCCCUUGAACUCGGCCAGCAGCCGUCGGCAGUUCCGGAAAGAGUUUUCUUUUCUUCAUAAGUCACGCAGUCGCUGGAACCGGGUUGUCCGGAGAUAGCGACGAUGUCGCCGCAAAACGCCGCGUCUCCCGUGGCGUUCGGAACGCUCUCGACGGUCCGUGAAAAGCCGAGCUACGCCGUAUAAAUCCGUGCUCGCUCGUACCCAUAUCCGCAGCAGGUCUCCAAGGUGAACAGCCUCUGGCCAGUUGAACAAUGCAGAUAAGGGAAGUCGGCAAAACGGAUCCGUACCUUCGGAACAAGGAUUGGUUCUGAGGGCUGAACCGGUCGGGCUGAUGUUUCGAAGCGUGUUUGGUGCGGUCGCUGACUGCCGGUCU
rnacentral:rRNA from 1 species